GACUAAUUUUCCCUAUCUGUAAAAUAGGGUAAAGGUUAUCCUAUUAGUCA
rnacentral:tRNA from 1 species